GCAGGUGAGUGCUGGGCAUGCGGCGGAUUCCAAACCCGCUCUGCUGAGGGUUCGAUUCCUUCCACCUGUGC
rnacentral:tRNA from 1 species